CUUGCUUUGAGUUUUCAUAUAUUCAUUUUUAACUUUUGGAUGGAUUUUAUUUUCAGCAUUAGUGGAUAUUAUUUAUGAUCCAAUUUUGGGAUCCAAUUUUAAUAUUUAAAGUUACUGUAAAUAAAAAAAAUUACUUUGGGGUGCCUGGGUGGCUCAGUAGGUUGAGUGUCUGCAUUCAGCUCAGGAUAUGAUCCCAGGAUCCUGUCCAGUCCUUGUGUUGGGUUCCCUUCUCAGUGGGAAGUGUGCUUCUCCCUCUCCUUCUGGCUCUUCCCCCACUUCCCCACUGGUACUUUUACUCCUUCUCCCUCUCUCUCUCUCAAAUAAAUAAAUAAAAACAUACAAAAUUAUGUUAAUUAUGCUUAUAUGCAUUAGAACUAAAGUCAUGUUUACUAAGAUUCUGUCUUUAAUUAUGUUGUGUUUUUUAUUAUGCUAUUUCCUUUAUUUUUUUUUAAUUUUUAUUUAUUUAUGAUAGUCACACAAAGAGAGAGAGAGAGGCAGAGACACAGACAGAAGGAGAAGCAGGCUCCAUGCACCGGGAGCCCGACGUGGGAUUCCAUACCGGGUCUCUAGGAUCGCGCCCUGGGCCAAAGGAGGCACCAAACCGCUGCGCCACCCAGGGAUCCCACUAUUUCCUUUAUUUUAGAAAUCAGCAACAGUUUAAGAAUGGAGUCAAACUGCUUCACCCCAAGUGACUCUGGGAGAGAGGAUCGACUAUUGAUCAAGGAACCAUCAAACAAGAGAUUUUAAAGCCACCCUUUCAGAUAAGGUAUGUUGAAAUGGCUAGGAUUACUUUGCUAUUCAGAGCCUUUAAAAGUAUGACAUGAGAGUUACUCUGACAAACAUAAACAACUCAACAGUGUAUGUUCCAAAUAAAUAAAACAAUAGUAAGCUGUAGAUCAGCAAGGAAGAAGACCUCCGUGUUAUUGUACCUCUUAUAUGACUCUUUGCAUCAGGGGGGACCCCAUGAUAGUGCAUAAUGCAACCAAAAAAAAAAAAAGAAGAAAGAAAGAAAGAAAGAAAGAGACAUAGAGAGUAAGAGAGAAGAAAGAAUAUACAGAAAUAAAACCAAAAGGGAAAAAACCCUAUGGGUUGAUAUGAUGAAACAUUCAUUACAUUGUGGGAAAGCAGCCAAAAUGAUUUAUACUUCAAUACUCCAUACUGAAAUCAAAGAGAAUGGGGUAGAAAUGCCGAUACAACUCUGGAUGGAGAGAGCUCUGAAGCAUGGCACUGCAAAAGAAUAUUUUGAUUGAGACAUUUAAUGGCAAUUCAAA
rnacentral:lncRNA from 1 species